rnacentral:lncRNA from 1 species
ACUGAGGUUAUGUUGGGAGAUAGCAGAGAUGAAUGUACUGUCAUUUUGGUAGAUAGAGUACAUCUAGUUUGUAAUUACAGACGAUCCAUUAAGCACAUAGCCAGGUGCCUCCAUCCUACGCUGUUCCUUACUCUCAGUCACAGGAGAACUUACCAUUUCAUCUUGUGCAAGCUUUGCUAUAUUGCUGGACACCUCUUCAGGAUGUCAAGAUUUAAUAACCUUUGA